rnacentral:misc_RNA from 1 species
GAAAUGCGAUAAGUAGUGUGAAUUGCAGAAUUCAGUGAAUCAUCGAAUCUUUGAACGCACAUUGCGCCCCUUGGUAUUCCAUGGGGCAUGCCUGUUCGAGCGUCAUUUGUACCCUCAAGCUCUGCUUGGUGUUGGGUGUUUGUCCCCUUCUCCGCGCGUGGACUCGCCCCAAAGUGAUUGGCAGCCGGCGUACUGGUCCCGGAGCGCAGCACAUGUCGCGCAAACGAGUGCCUUGGUACGGCGGCGUCCAUAAGCCCCUCUCUCACGCUCUUGACCUCGGAUCAGGUAGGGAUACCCGCUGAACUUAAGC